rnacentral:lncRNA from 1 species
AUGAAAUGGGAUGGCGUAUACAAGGCCCCGGACAGGGACAGGUUCCCCAGUCAGACACCCCCACCAGACGCCCUCCCCCAGGCUCCUAGCCGCUCCCGGCCCCCAGCUGGGGAAGCAUCAGGCUUUUGGACAGCUGAGAAGGUGGGCAGGAGGAGGACGAGGAGCGUCUGGGUGAGGAGCAGGACUGAAGAAGCUGAGUGGAUACCCUGCAGACACCAGAGGAGGGAUGUUUGGGGAGGCCCUUGGGAACAGAGAACACCAACUAGGUGGGUGGUGGGGAGAGAGAUGGAGGCGAGAGGCUGAGCAUUUGCUCAUUUGUUGAUUCAUUCCCCAAGUCCUCUGGGCCCUGUAAGCAAGGGCUGUAGAGCUGCAGCUGGUGUGGGCCGGUGCCUGCAGUGGCUCUGAGCUCCCAGGGCUGCAUUCUGGUGCCUCUGGGGCAGUUGGAUGGGCCCCUUCUGUGGUCAACAAUGGACAAGAGACUACCGCCACAGAACGUCCAGCCAGGCUCUGCCUCGGUCCAGCUGCCCGCCUAGCUUAACUCUCGAUUUCCAUUUCACAGUAGCUCCUGCUUGAGAGAACAUUUGAUGAUAUUCCCUCUCACAGAGUGAGACAGAUUAGCUGAGCCAUUUUUAUGGUUCUUUCUAAGUGCAUGGCAAAGGAGUUAUUUUCUAAGAGGGGUUUACAUGAAGGAAACUCUACUUGGAGUCAGAAAACUAUAUCUGAGUCCUGCUUCUGUCCCUUACUAGCUGUGUCACUUUGGACAACUUCCACCCCCUCUCUGAACCUGAGUUUCCAACUCUGGAAAAAAAUGGGUAUGAAAAUAGUAAUAUGUGCCUCACAGGUUAAAUAGCACAGAGAUAGAAAGGCAAAUAGCAAUGAGAUUGUGUAUGUGUUGAGAGAUUCUGUAAAUUAUGAAGUCUUACACAAACAUCAAAUUUUACUAUUAUUCAAGAUCUUCCUUUGUGUGUGGUCCCUCCCUGGGUCCACACAGGGAUCCCUGAGAUCCUCUCUAGUUCCUACUGCUCCCGUAGGACACUGCAUACCCCCUCCUCCCUGCUGAAUCUAAAUUAAUUGCUUCCAGUGCUGUCUUCCAGCAGCACCACGUAUGGGCUUCUUUGGGGCCCUCUUGCUAUCUGCCUUGUGUAGGAAUUACUUGUGUGUGGUCUGCCCCUCUUGAUCUAAGAGUCUCUGAAGGAAAUGACCUUGACUUCUCAUUCCCAGAUCCCUAGGGUUCAGCAUGGUGCCCAACACAUAGCAGGGGCUCAAAAACUACCUGUAGAAUUAAAUACUUUUGAUUCUUUGUUAACUUAUCAAACCAGUAUUUUCUGGGAGAAUUGUUUUUAGAGUUUUAUAAAUUAUAGAAACAAUAAAACUUUAAAUACAAUUUUGAGAAGAGAAAAA